rnacentral:rRNA from 1 species
CGAUUACGGGAGGCAGCAGUAGGGAAUAUUGCUCAAUGGGGGAAACCCUGAAGCAGCAACGCCGCGUGGAGGGUGACACUUUUCGGAGCGUAAACUCCUUUUCUUGGGAAAGAAUUAUGACGGUAUCUUACCAGAAAGGGACGGCUAACUACGUGCCAGCAGCCGCGGUAAUAUCG